UACGUAGGGUGCAAGCGUUAAUCGGAAUUACUGGGCGUAAAGCGUGCGCAGGCGGUCCGCUAAGACAGAUGUGAAAUCCCCGGGCUUAACCUGGGAACUGCAUUUGUGACUGGCGGGCUAGAGUAUGGCAGAGGAGGGUAGAAUUCCACGUGUAGCAGUGAAAUGCGUAGAGAUGUGGAGGAAUACCGAUGGCGAAGGCAGCCCCCUGGGCCAAUACUGACGCUCAUGCGCGAAAGCGUGGGGAGCAAACAGG
rnacentral:rRNA from 1 species